GGGGAAUUUUCCGCAAUGGGCGAAAGCCUGACGGAGCAAUCUCGCGUGAGGGAUGACGGCCUAUGGGUUGUAAACCUCUUUUUUCAGGGAGGAAUCAAUGACGAGUACCUGAAGAAUAAGCAUCGGCUAACUCCGUGCCAGCAGCCGCGGUAAGACGGAGGAUGCAAGUGUUAUCCGGAAUCACUGGGCGUAAAGCGUCUGUAGGUGGUCUAGCAAGUCAACUGUUAAAUCUUGAAGCUCAACUUCAAAAUCGCAGUCGAAACUAUUAGACUAGAGUAUAGUAGGGGUAAAGGGAAUUUCCAGUGGAGCGGUGAAAUGCGUAGAGAUUGGAAAGAACACCGAUGGCGAAGGCACUUUACUGGGCUAUUACUGACACUCAGAGACGAAAGCUAGGGUAGCAAAUGGGAUUAGAUACCCCAGUAGUC
rnacentral:rRNA from 1 species